UACAGAGGGUGCGAGCGUUAAUCGGAAUUACUGGGCGUAAAGGGCGCGUAGGUGGUUAAUUAAGUCAGAUGUGAAAUCCCCGGGCUUAACCUGGGAAUGGCAUAUGAAACUGAUUAGCUAGAGUUUGGGAGAGGGAAGUGGAAUUUCAGGUGUAGCGGUGAAAUGCGUAGAUAUCUGAAGGAACACCAGUGGCGAAGGCGACUUCCUGGCCCGAUACUGACACUGAGGCGCGAAAAGCGUGGGGAGCAAACAGG
rnacentral:rRNA from 1 species